GUAUCUAACAGUUUAUUAGGGACGAGUUGUCAGGGAUUCAUAUGUCCUGCGUGUUUUAUGUCUUUACAUAUAGGUAUCUAACAGUUUAUUAGGGACGAGUUGUCAGGGAUUCAUAUGUCCUGCGUGUUUUUAUGUCUUUACAUAUAGGUAUCUAACAGUUUAUUAGGGACGAGUUGUCAGGGAUUCAUAUGUCCUACGUGUUUUAUGUCUUUACAUAUAGGUAUCUAACUGUUUAUUAGGGACGAGUUGUCAGGGAUUCAUAUGUCCUGCGUGUUUUAUGUCUUUACAUAUAGGUAUCUAACAGUUUAUUAGGGACGAGUUGUCAGGGAUUCAUAUGUCCUGCGUGUUUUUAUGUCUUUACAUAUAGGUAUCUAACAGUUUAUUAGGGACGAGUUGUCAGGGAUUCAUAUGUCCUGCGUGUUUUAUGUCUUUACAUAUAGGUAUCUAACAGUUUAUU
rnacentral:lncRNA from 1 species